UACAGAGGUCUCAAGCGUUGUUCGGAUUCAUUGGGCGUAAAGGGUGUGUAGGUGGCGCCGUAAGUCGGGUGUGAAAUCUCGGGGCUUAACUCCGAAACUGCAUUCGAUACUGCGGUGCUUGAGGACUGGAGAGGAGACUGGAAUUCAUGGUGUAGCAGUGAAAUGCGUAGAGAUCAUGAGGAAGAUCAGUGGCGAAGGCGGGUCUCUGGACAGUUCCUGACACUGAGACACGAAGGCCAGGGGAGCAAACGGG
rnacentral:rRNA from 1 species